CCGGUUGAUCCCGCCGGACCUGACUGCUAUCGGAUUGAUACUAAGCCAUGCGAGUCAUUGUAGCAAUACAAGGCAGACGGCUCAGUAACGCGUAGUCAACCUAACCUAUGGACGGGAAUAACCUCGGGAAACUGAGAAUAAUGCCCGAUAGAACGCUAUAUCUGGAAUGGUUUGUGUUCCAAAUGAUUUAUCGCCGUAGGAUGGGACUGCGGCCUAUCAGUUUGUUGGUGAGGUAAUGGCCCACCAAGACUAUUACAGGUACGGGCUCUGAGAGGAGUAGCCCGGAGAUGGGUACUGAGACACGGACCCAGGCCCUAUGGGGCGCAGCACGCGAGAAAACUUUGCAAUGUGCGAAAGCACGACAAGGUUAAUCCGAGUGGUUUGUGCUAAACGAACCUUUUGUCGGUCCUAGAAACACCGAUGAAUAAGGGGUGGGCAAGUUCUGGUGUCAGCCGCCGCGGUAAAACCAGCACCUCAAGUGGUCAGGAUGAUUAUUGGGCCUAAAGCAUCCGUAGCCGGCGCUGUAAGUUUUCGGUUAAAUCUGUACGCUCAACGUACAGGCUGCCGGGAAUACUGCAGCGCUAGGGAGUGGGAGAGGUAGACGGUACUCGGUAGGAAGGGGUAAAAUCCUUUGAUCUAUUGAUGACCACCUGUGGCGAAGGCGGUCUACCAGAACACGUCCGACGGUGAGGGAUGAAAGCUGGGGGAGCAAACCGGAUUAGAUACCCGGGUAGUCCCAGCUGUAAACUAUGCAAACUCAGUGAUGCAUUGGCUUGUGGCCAAUGCAGUGCUGCAGGGAAGCCGUUAAGUUUGCCGCCUGGGAAGUACGUACGCAAGUAUGAAACUUAAAGGAAUUGGCGGGGGAGCACCACAAGGGGUGAAGCCUGCGGUUCAAUUGGAUUCAACGCCGGAAAU
rnacentral:rRNA from 1 species